GACGAACGCUGGCGGCGUGCCUAAUACAUGCAAGUCGAACGCAGUGGGGACGGGUGAGUAACACGUGGGUAACCUCCCAUCAGAGGGGAUAACACUUGGAAACAGGUGCUAAACCGAUACUGAUGGAUGGCCCCGCGGUGCAUUAGCUAGGUGGUGUGGUAACGGCUCACCCAGGCCACGAUGCAUAGCGUACCUGGGAGGGUGAGCGGCCAUGUUGGGACUGAGACACGGCCCAGACUCCUACUGUAGGCAGCAGUAGGGAACCUUCGGCAAUGGACGAAAGUCUGACCGAGCAACGCCGCGUGAGUUAAGAAGGUUGUCGGGUCGUAAAACUCUGUUGUUAGAGAAGCGGUAUCUAACCAGAAAGCCACGGCUAACUACGUGCCAGCAGCCGCGGUAAUUC
rnacentral:rRNA from 1 species